UAAUACAUGCAAGUCGUACGCACUGGCCCAACUGAUUGAUGGUGCUUGCACCUGAUUGACGAUGGAUUACCAGUGAGUGGCGGACGGGUGAGUAACACGUAGGUAACCUGCCCCGGAGCGGGGGAUAACAUUUGGAAACAGAUGCUAAUACCGCAUAACAACAAAAGCCACAUGGCUUUUGUUUGAAAGAUGGCUUUGGCUAUCACUCUGGGAUGGACCUGCGGUGCAUUAGCUAGUUGGUAAGGUAACGGCUUACCAAGGCGAUGAUGCAUAGCCGAGUUGAGAGACUGAUCGGCCACAAUGGAACUGAGACACGGUCCAUACUCCUACGGGAGGCAGCAGUAGGGAAUCUUCCACAAUGGGCGCAAGCCUGAUGGAGCAACACCGCGUGAGUGAAGAAGGGUUUCGGCUCGUAAAGCUCUGUUGUUGGAGAAGAACGUGCGUGAGAGUAACUGUUCACGCAGUGACGGUAUCCAACCAGAAAGUCACGGCUAACUACGUGCCAGCAGCCGCGGUAAUACGUAGGUGGCAAGCGUUAUCCGGAUUUAUUGGGCGUAAAGCGAGCGCAGGCCGGUUGCUUAGGUCUGAUGUGAAAGCCUUCGGCUUAACCGAAGAAAGUGCAUCGGAAACCGGGCGACUUGAGUGCAGAAGAGGACAGUGGAACUCCAUGUGUAGCGGUGGAAUGCGUAGAUAUAUGGAAGAACACCAGUGGCGAAGGCGGCUGUCUGGUCUGCAACUGACGCUGAGGCUCGAAAGCAUGGGUAGCGAACAGGAUUAGAUACCCUGGUAGUCCAUGCCGUAAACGAUGAGUGCUAGGUGUUGGAGGGUUUCCGCCCUUCAGUGCCGGAGCUAACGCAUUAAGCACUCCGCCUGGGGAGUACGACCGCAAGGUUGAAACUCAAAGGAAUUGACGGGGGCCCGCACAAGCGGUGGAGCAUGUGGUUUAAUUCGAAGCUACGCGAAGAACCUUACCAGGUCUUGACAUCUUGCGCUAACCUUAGAGAUAAGGCGUUCCCUUCGGGGACGCAAUGACAGGUGGUGCAUGGUCGUCGUCAGCUCGUGUCGUGAGAUGUUGGGUUAAGUCCCGCAACGAGCGCAACCCUUGUUACUAGUUGCCAGCAUUAAGUUGGGCACUCUAGUGAGACUGCCGGUGACAAACCGGAGGAAGGUGGGGACGACGUCAGAUCAUCAUGCCCCUUAUGACCUGGGCUACACACGUGCUACAAUGGACGGUACAACGAGUCGCAAGCUCGCGAGAGUAAGCUAAUCUCUUAAAGCCGUUCUCAGUUCGGACUGUAGGCUGCAACUCGCCUACACGAAGUCGGAAUCGCUAGUAAUCGCGGAUCAGCAUGCCGCGGUGAAUACGUUCCCGGGCCUUGUACACACCGCCCGUCACACCAUGGGAGUUUGUAACGCCCAAAGUCGGUGGCCUAACCUUUAUGGAGGGAGCCGC
rnacentral:rRNA from 2 species